GUUAUCCGGAUUUAUUGGGUUUAAAGGGUGCGUAGGCGGCCUUGUAUGUCAGGGGUGAAAGACGGUAGCUCAACUAUCGCAGUGCCUUUGAUACUGCAGGGCUUGAAUGUACUUGAGGUAGGCGGAAUGUGACAAGUAGCGGUGAAAUGCAUAGAUAUGUCACAGAACACCAAUUGCGAAGGCAGCUUACUAAAGUAUGAUUGACGCUGAGGCACGAAAGCGUGGGGAUCAAACAGG
rnacentral:rRNA from 1 species